rnacentral:lncRNA from 1 species
UCAGUAAUUCAAUAAUUUAUUCAUCUAAAAAAGUGUGUAAAAGUAUAUAGCUCUCAUCCACAAGGUAUAUAUGAAUGACAUUUAAAAUGGAGGCCUUUUAUUAUUGUUUCUUUUUAUCAAAGUCUUUUUUAGUGUAUUGUACCAGCGAUAUACUGUAGUUUUUUUUUUUUUAAUGAACUUCACAUAUUUUUGUAUUCUUUCAAAUUGUCUGCUAUAUAUAAAAGAAGCUCACUGCAAAAUGCUUGAAGGAAAAAAAAAAGACAAAAAUUCAGAACUUCCCAGAAAUGUACAGCUUUUACAUUUAAAAAAGGUUCUGAAAUAUACAUACAGGCAUGCGGGACAAUCCCCUCCCCCCCCCUCGCCCCUCAGCUCAAACCACAGUAAGAGUUCUGAUUUCUGCAUGAUCUCCAAAAUUAGAAAUUAAAAAAAAAAUAAAAUAACUUUUUCACUCUGUAGCAAAUCCAGGGCUUGUACAUUUCAGAUUAAUUCAGUAAAAAACUCACAAGUAAAAUAAUGCAUAUUUAAGGGAAAUAUUAUAAUAAGAUUUUUUAAAAUCUAUUGCCAUUCAUUUAUUUUGCACAAAAACGUAUAAAUAUGUCACCAGCUUUUCUUAACUUAAAAAACUUAAAUAAAAACGACACCAGAUGAAAACUACCCUUUGCUGCCUUUUUUUUUUUUUUAAUAAUUUUUUUUGUGGGUUUUUUUUUUCCUUUUUGCUUAGAACUGGGUUUCUAGGGAAAAAAAGCCCCUGCAUAAAAACAGCCCAUUAAAAAAAAAUUCAGAUGAAUUCUGGGAAAAAACAACCCCAAAGUGGUAAAAGAUUACAAAUGUCUACUUUACAAUUUGUCUUCUCACCAAGUUAGAUUUUUAUACAUGUUUACAAUCUUCAUAUUUUUAUGCGCUUCAAAAGGCCUUGAGAAUUUUCCUUUCUGAUUAAGAAAAAAUAGCACUGCAAUAUUUUUAAAGUCAAUUUUACACUGUACACAUUAGAUACAAAUGGUUUGAUAUAUCAGAUUUUUUUUUUAACCUAUA